GAUGAACGCUGGCGGCGUGCCUAAUACAUGCAAGUCGAGCGAACGGACGAGAAGCUUGCUUCUCUGAUGUUAGCGGCGGACGGGUGAGUAACACGUGGAUAACCUACCUAUAAGACUGGGAUAACUUCGGGAAACCGGAGCUAAUACCGGAUAAUAUUUUGAACCGCAUGGUUCAAAAGUGAAAGACGGUCUUGCUGUCACUUAUAGCUGGAUCCGCGCUGCAUUAGCUAGUUGGUAAGGUAACGGCUUACCAAGGCAACGAUGCAUAGCCGACCUGAGAGGGUGAUCGGCCACACUGGAACUGAGACACGGUCCAGACUCCUACGGGAGGCAGCAGUAGGGAAUCUUCCGCAAUGGGCGAAAGCCUGACGGAGCAACGCCGCGUGAGUGAUGAAGGUCUUCGGAUCGUAAAACUCUGUUAUUAGGGAAGAACAUAUGUGUAAGUAACUGUGCACAUCUUGACGGUACCUAAUCAGAAAGCCACGGCUAACUACGU
rnacentral:rRNA from 1 species